AUUGAAACACUCGUUCCCAUACGAUCAUGAAAGUUAAGCAAUACCGAACUUGGUCAGUACUUAAAUGGGUGACCAUUUGGGAAUACCAGC